rnacentral:rRNA from 1 species
GUUACUGCGAAGGGGGGACGGAGAAGGCUAUGUUAGCCGGGCGACGGUUGUCCCGGUUUAAGCAUGUAGGCUGGUUAUCCAGGCAAAUCCGGAUAAUCAAGGCUGAGGUGUGAUGACGAGGCACUACGGUGCUGAAGUAACAAAUGCCCUACUUCCAGGAAAAGCCUCUAAGCAUCAGGUAACAUCAAAUCGUACCCCAAACCGACACAGGUGGUCAGGUAGAGAAUACCAAGGCGCUUGAGAGAACUCGGGUGAAGGAACUAGGCAAAAUGGUGCCGUAACUUCGGGAGAAGGCACGCUGGUGUGUAGGUGAAGUCCCUGCGGAUGGAGCUGAGACCAGUCGAAGAUACCAGCUGGCUGCAACUGUUUAUUAAAAACACAGCACUGUGCAAACACGAAAGUGGACGUAUACGGUGUGACGCCUGCCCGGUGCCGGAAGGUUAAUUGAUGGGGUUAUCCGUAAGGAGAAGCUCUUGAUCGAAGCCCCGGUAAACGGCGGCCGUAACUAUAACGGUCCUAAGGUAGCGAAAUUCCUUGUCGGGUAAGUUCCGACCUGCACGAAUGGCGUAAUGAUGGCCAGGCUGUCUCCACCCGAGACUCAGUGAAAUUGAACUCGCUGUGAAGAUGCAGUGUACCCGCGGCAAGACGGAAAGACCCCGUGAACCUUUACUAUAGCUUGACACUGAACAUUGAGCCUUGAUGUGUAGGAUAGGUGGGAGGCUUUGAAGCGUGGACGCCAGUCUGCGUGGAGCCAACCUUGAAAUACCACCCUUUAAUGUUUGAUGUUCUAACGUUGGCCCCUGACCGGGGUUGCGGACAGUGUCUGGUGGGUAGUUUGACUGGGGCGGUCUCCUCCCAAAGCGUAACGGAGGAGCACGAAGGUUAGCUAAUCCUGGUCGGACAUCAGGAGGUUAGUGCAAUGGCAUAAGCUAGCUUGACUGCGAGCGUGACGGCGCGAGCAGGUGCGAAAGCAGGUCAUAGUGAUCCGGUGGUUCYGMAUGGAAGGGCCAUCGCUCAACGGAUAAAAGGUACUCCGGGGAUAACAGGCUGAUACCGCCCAAGAGUUCAUAUCGACGGCGGUGUUUGGCACCUCGAUGUCGGCUCAUCACAUCCUGGGGCUGAAGUAGGUCCCAAGGGUAUGGCUGUUCGCCAUUUAAAGUGGUACGCGAGCUGGGUUUAGAACGUCGUGAGACAGUUCGGUCCCUAUCUGCCGUGGRCGCUKGAGAWUUGAGRGGGGCUGCUCCUAGUACGAGAGGACCGGAGUGGACGMAYCWCUGGUGUUCSGGUUGUCAYGCCARUGGCAYUGCCSGGUAGCUAAAUGCGGAAGAGAUAAGUGCUGAAAGCAUCUAAGCACGAAACUUGCCCCGAGAUGAGUUCUCCCUGAGACUWUAAGUCUCCUGAAGGAACGUUAAAGACGAYGACGUUGAUAGGCCGGGUGUGUAAGCGCAGCGAUGCGUUGAGCUAACCGGUACUAAUGAACCGUGAGGCUUAACCUUACAACGCCGAAG